rnacentral:rRNA from 1 species
UACAGAGGGUGCGAGCGUUAAUCGGAAUUACUGGGCGUAAAGCGCACGUAGGCGGCUUGGUAUGUCGGGUGUGAAAUCCCCGGGCUCAACCUGGGAACUGCAUCCGAAACUGCCUUGCUCGAGUAUGGGAGAGGGAAGUGGAAUUUCCGGUGUAGCGGUGAAAUGCGUAGAGAUCGGGAGGAACACCAGUGGCGAAGGCGACACACUGGCUCACUACUGACGCUGAGGCACGAAAGCGUGGGGAGCAAACAGG